AACGAACGCUGGCGGCAUGCCUAACACAUGCAAGUCGAACGAGACCUUCGGGUCUAGUGGCGCACGGGUGCGUAACGCGUGGGAACCUGCCCUUAGGUUCGGAAUAACUCCCCGAAAGGGGUGCUAAUACCGGAUAAUGUCUUCGGACCAAAGAUUUAUCGCGUUUGGUUGGGCCCGCGUUGGAUUAGCUAGUUGGUAGGGUAAAAGCCUACCAAGGCGACGAUCCAUAGCUGGUCUGUGAGGAUGAUCAGCCACACUUGGACUGAGACACGGCCCAGACUCUUACGGGAGGCAGCAGUGGGGAAUAGUGGACAAUGGGCGAAAGCCUGAUCCAGCAAGGCCGCGUGAGUGAUGAAGGCCUUAGGGUUGUAAAGCUCUUUUACCCGGGAUGAUAAUGACAGUACCGGGAGAAUAAGCUCCAGCUAACUACGUG
rnacentral:rRNA from 1 species